GACAGAGGGGGCAAGCGUUGCUCGGAAUUACUGGGCGUAAAGGGCGCGUAGGCGGGAUGGCAAGUCGGUCGUGAAAUCCCUCGGCUCAACCGAGGAACGUCGAUCGAUACUGCUGUUCUUGAGGAUUGCAGAGGAGACUGGAAUUCCCGGUGUAGCGGUGAAAUGUGUAGAGAUCGGGAGGAACACCGGUGGCGAAGGCGGGUCUCUGGGCAAUUCCUGACGCUGAGGCGCGAAAGCGUGGAGAGCAAACGGG
rnacentral:rRNA from 1 species